rnacentral:rRNA from 1 species
CUAUUCGCCAGAGUAGUACCGGCAAUAGCUUAAAACUCAAAGGACUUGGCGGUGCUUUAUACCCUUCUAGAGGAGCCUGUUCUAUAAUCGAUAAACCCCGAUAAACCUCACCAUUCCUUGCUACUACAGUCUAUAUACCGCCAUCUUCAGCAAACCCUAAAAAGGUACAAAAGUAAGCACAAUCAUAAUACAUAAAAACGUUAGGUCAAGGUGUAACCUAUGGAACGGAAAAAAAUGGGCUACAUUUUCUAAUCUAAGAAAAUCCAACACGAAAGUUAUUAUGAAACUAGUAACCAAAGGA